rnacentral:rRNA from 1 species
GAUGAACGCUGGCGGCGUGCCUAAUACAUGCAAGUCGAGCGAACGGACGAGAAGCUUGCUUCUCUGAUGUUAGCGGCGGACGGGUGAGUAACACGUGGAUAACCUACCUAUAAGACUGGGAUAACUUCGGGAAACCGGAGCUAAUACCGGAUAAUAUUUUGAACCGCAUGGUUCAAAAGUAAAAGACGGUCUUGCUGUCACUUAUAGAUGGAUCCGCGCUGCAUUAGCUAGUUGGUAAGGUAACGGCUUACCAAGGCAACGAUGCAUAGCCGACCUGAGAGGAUGAUCAGCCACACUGGAACUGAGACACGGUCCAGACUCCUACGGGAGGCAGCAGUGGGGAAUCUUGCGCAAUGGGCGAAAGCCUGAUGGAGCAACGCCGCGUGAGUGAUGAAGGUCUUCGGAUCGUAAAACUCUGUUAUUAGGGAAGAACAUAUGUGUAAGUAACCGUGCACAUCUUGACGGUACCUAAACAGAAAGCCACGGCUAACUACGUG